UUUGCAUAUGGACCGAACCGGAACCGAACCGAAAUAAUUCGGUCGGUCCAAUCCGUUCCGCCAGAACCGAAAUUUUUAAAAAAUUUAAAUUAUUCUGUAUUAUAAAGAAAAUCAACCAGCAUGAUUAAUGAGAAAAAACCACCACAGAUAAUUCAAGGAGCUACAUUCAAAGCAGUAGCAUAACUCCAAAAUAGCCAUUAAGUUUACAAAUUUUAAAAACCAAAUACAUUAGGCUGCUAGUUGAUCAAAAACAAAAUAAAUAGCCAGAGAUGUUUUUGCAUUCGCCGUCAACAAAUAUACUCUUUUGAUCACCGGAUGUAUCAUCCAAAUCAAGAAUCAAAUUUUUUGAAGCAGCCUUAGCUUCCUCCUUUUUGCUUGUCCUUCCUGCCAAGUGCCAACUAUAAGACAUAAAUUCAUAAGCAAAUAGCCGGAUUACAGAACAGGCAAAUAGCUCGAAUAGAAUCCGUGGCUCGUAUCUUUGAUUCUCGAAUCGAAUCGAUUGUGAUGAAGUUAGGCGGUUAGGGUUAGCUGCGUGUGAAGUGUGAACUGAUGCGUGUGAUUUGUGAACGGCGCGGCGCUCGGAUGGGGAGGCUGGGAUGAUAGUCGAUGGAUUAGGUAUUUAGGUAUAGUGACUAUAGUCAGAUUAUUAGUAUAAUAUUUUAUAUAAUAUAUAAAAUAAAAAUAUUAAUUAUAUAUAUAUAUAUAUAUAAAAGUUCGGUCCAUUCGGUCCAGAAUCGAAAUUUCUCAACACGGACCGGAUCGGACCGUAUUUUAUUUUGGUCCGGACCGAAGUACCCGAACGGACCGAAAUUUCAGAAAAUCAGGACGAACCGGACCGAAAUUAUUCGGUUCGGUCCGGUUUUUCGAUUUCGGUUCGGUUUUCCUCAGCCCUAGGCUCCGUGUCCAAUUCAAACGUAUACAUUCCAGAGGGACGGAGGGAGUACAAAUUUUACCGAUACAUGAAAACUUGGCUGCUCUUAAGAGGAAACAUGUUACUCUUUACGUUUUAUAUUAUUUGACGUUUUGACUUUUGUCAUACAAAAAAUCGGACGUUGAUUGGAUCGUAAAAAUUAUUAUUUUUUAUUGAAUUUUUUGUGAAUUAAAAUAUUAAUUAUAUAUUUUUAUUCGGAUAAAAAAAUUUAACAAAUAAUAUUUUUAAAUACCGGACCAAAUCACUUAAAACUACACGCCCAAAGUGUUAAAUAUUAAAAAAGAUAGGGAAUAACCCAUUAAAAUAUAUUUGUAACAAAACUAUAUAGUAAAGAAAAUUGUAUGUAUUAUUAUAUUUAAACUGUCAAAAUCUAAUCAAUCUAUUAUUAGGUAGAAAUAUUUUUAUAGUAAAAUAUCCACCUAUGAGUUUUGUUGCAUGAGAAAAACCAUAUUUCUUAAUUAAAAUGAAUUCGAAGUCGGAGCACUUCUUCACACACCAUUUCAAGCAGGUAGUCGUUGGUCUCAACUCUCAACUCUCAAAG
rnacentral:lncRNA from 1 species